GGUCUGAUCAGCCGGUUUAGCCGCAAGGCUAACACUGGUUCGGUCGGAUCUUUCCUUGUAGGGAACUAGUGUGUCAUUUACUUGGCGCACUAGGGAUCUAUGACUGUUACUUUGAAAAAAUUAGAGUGUUUAAAACAGGCGUUUGCUUGAAUACAUUAGCAUGGAAUAACGGAAUAGGACUUUGUUUCUAUUUUGUUGGUUUUUAGGAACGAAGUA
rnacentral:rRNA from 1 species